ACUCCUGCGGGAGGCAGCAGUGGGGAAUAUUGCACAAUGGGCGCAAGCCUGAUGCAGCCAUGCCGCGUGUAUGAAGAAGGCCUUCGGGUUGUAAAGUACUUUCAGCGGGGAGGAAGGCGAUAAGGUUAAUAACCUUGUCGAUUGACGUUACCCGCAGAAGAAGCACCGGCUAACUCCGUGCCAGCAGCCGCGGUAAUACGGAGGGUGCAAGCGUUAAUCGGAAUUACUGGGCGUAAAGCGCACGCAGGCGGUCUGUCAAGUCGGAUGUGAAAUCCCCGGGCUCAACCUGGGAACUGCAUUCGAAACUGGCAGGCUAGAGUCUUGUAGAGGGGGGUAGAAUUCCAGGUGUAGCGGUGAAAUGCGUAGAGAUCUGGAGGAAUACCGGUGGCGAAGGCGGCCCCCUGGACAAAGACUGACGCUCAGGUGCGAAAGCGUGGGGAGCAAACAGGAUUAGAAACCCGAGUAGUCC
rnacentral:rRNA from 1 species